rnacentral:rRNA from 1 species
GCUAGCGUUGCUCGGAAUCACUGGGCGUAAAGGGUGCGUAGGCGGGGCUUUAAGUCAGGGGUGAAAUCCUGGAGCUCAACUCCAGAACUGCCUUUGAUACUGAAGAUCUUGAGUUCGGGAGAGGUGAGUGGAACUGCGAGUGUAGAGGUGAAAUUCGUAGAUAUUCGCAAGAACACCAGUGGCGAAAGCGGCCCACUGGCCCGAUACUGACGCUGAGGCACGAAAGCGUGGGGAGCAAACAGG